UCCCUCAUCACUCACCCAACAAAGUGUGUGACAGUGGUGUUUUCGUUAUGACAUUCCUAGAGCAUUGGAGCGGAAGGUUGGCUGUUCGGCUUACAGAGGAAAAUGUUGGCAAGUAU